GAUGAAGAACGCAGCGAAAUGCGAUAAGUAAUGUGAAUUGCAGAAUUCAGUGAAUCAUCGAAUCUUUGAACGCACAUUGCGCCCGCCAGUAUUCUGGCGGGCAUGCCUGUUCGAGCGUCAUUUCAACCAUCAAGCCCCCGGCUUGUGUUGGGGACCUGCGGCUGCCGCAGGCCCUGAAAACCAGUGGCGGGCUCGCUAGUCACUCCGAGCGUAGUAAUACAUCUCGCUCAGGGCGUGCUGCGGGUUCCGGCCGUUAAAAAGCCUUAUUUACCCAAGGUUGACCUCGGAUCAGGUAGGAAGACCCGCUGAACUUAAGCAUAUCAAUAAGCUGAGGA
rnacentral:misc_RNA from 1 species